GACGAACGCUGGCGGCGUGCUUAACACAUGCAAGUCGAACGGUGAAGGGGUCUGCUUUUGUGGGCCCUGGAUGAGUGGCGAACGGGUGAGUAACACGUGAGUAACCUGCCCCCUUCUUCUGGAUAACCGCAUGAAAGUGUGGCUAAUACGGGAUAUUCUGGGUCUGUCGCAUGAUGGGUCUGGGAAAGAUUGCGCCUUUGGGUGUUUUUGGUGGGGGAUGGGCUCGCGGCCUAUCAGCUUGUUGGUGGGGUGAUGGCCUACCAAGGCGGUGACGGGUAGCCGGCCUGAGAGGGUGGACGGUCACACUGGGACUGAGACACGGCCCAGACUCCUACGGGAGGCAGCAGUGGGGAAUAUUGCACAAUGGGCGCAAGCCUGAUGCAGCGACGCCGCGUGAGGGAUGGAGGCCUUCGGGUUGUAACCUCUUUCGCCAGUGAAGCAGGCCUGCUCCUUGUGGGUGGGUUGACGGUAGCUGGAUAAGAAGCGCCGGCUAACUACGUG
rnacentral:rRNA from 1 species